rnacentral:rRNA from 1 species
UUUUUGAAUAUAAUUUAAAGUAGGGCCUGCCCMCUGAUAUUUUGAAGGGCCGCAGUAUCUUAACUGUGCAAAGGUAGCAUAAUCAUUAGUUUUUUAAUUGAAAGCUGGUAUGAAUGGUUUGAUGAAAAAAUUACUGUUUCUAUAUUAUUUUUUUAAAAUUUUAUUUUUAAGUUAAAAAGCUUAAAUUUUUAUAAAAGACGAGAAGACCCUAUAGAGUUUUAUUUAUUUUUUUUUUAUAGUGGUAAGUAUAAAUAUACUAUAAUAAUAAAAUAAAUUUGGUUGGGGUGAUUUAAAAAUUAAAUAAACUUUUUAUAUAUUUUUACAUUGAUUUAUGAAAUUUUGAUCCAUAAAAAUGAUUAAAAGAUUAAAUUACCUUAGGGAUAACAGCGUAAUUUUUUUUAAGAGUUCUUAUUUAAAGAAAAGUUUGCGACCUCGAUGUUGGAUUAAAAUUAAUUUUUGGUGAAGAAGCUAAAAAAUUAGGUCUGUUCNACCUUUAAAAUUUUACA